UACUUGAUGAUGGAAAGCAGGGGGAGUU
rnacentral:piRNA from 1 species